rnacentral:snoRNA from 1 species
UAUGUGGCUGAAGAUGACCAUUUUUUUCCCCGUCUUAUCGAUUUUGGUGAAAAAAAGAAAGAUACUUAGCCAGUGUUUCUGAAGCCACAUU